UUAUACGGAAUGAUUGGGCGUAAAGCGUCCGCAGGUGGCAAUGUAAGUCUGCUGUUAAAGAGCAAAGCUCAACUUUGUAAGAGCAGUGGAAACUACAUAGCUAGAGUACGUUCGGGGUAGAGGGAAUUCCUGGUGUAGCGGUGAAAUGCGUAGAUAUCAGGAAGAACACCGGUGGCGAAAGCGCUCUACUAGGCCUGUACUGACACUGAGGGACGAAAGCUAGGGGAGCGAAUGGGAUUAGAUACCCCAGUAGUCCUAGCCGUAAACGAUGGAUACUAGGCGUGGCUUGUAUCGACCCGAGCCGUGCCGUAGCUAACGCGUUAAGUAUCCCGCCUGGGGAGUACGCACGCAAGUGUGAAACUCAAAGGAAUUGACGGGGGCCCGCACAAGCGGUGGAGUAUGUGGUUUAAUUCGAUGCAACGCGAAGAACCUUACCAAGACUUGACAUGUUGCGAAUCCUUGUGAAAGCAGGGAGUGCCUUCGGGAGCGCAAACACAGGUGGUGCAUGGCUGUCGUCAGCUCGUGUCGUGAGAUGUUGGGUUAAGUCCCGCAACGAGCGCAACCCUCGUUUUUAGUUGCCAGCAUUAAGUUGGGCACUCUAGAGAGACUGCCGGUGACAAACCGGAGGAAGGUGGGGAUGACGUCAAGUCAGCAUGCCCCUUACGUCUUGGGCUACACACGUACUACAAUGCUACGGACAAAGGGCAGCAAGCUAGUGAUAGCAAGCAAAUCUCAGAAACCGUGGCUCAGUUCAGAUCGAAGGCUGCAACUCGCCUUCGUGAAGGAGGAAUCGCUAGUAAUUGCAGGUCAGCAUACUGCAGUGAAUUCAUUCCCGGGCCUUGUACACACCGCCCGUCACACCAUGAAAGCUGGCAACGCCCGAAGUCAUUACUCCAACUGUUCGCAGAGGAGGAUGCCUAAGGCAGUGCUGGUGACUGGGGUGAAGUCGUAACAAGGUAGCCGUACCGGAAGGUGUGGCUGGAUCACCUCCUUUUAGGGAGACCGAAUCCACUCAAAUAUCGAAAACAUUCAGUGAAUAGAUAAUGAGAUGGUCAUUCCUAGGUCGGUCGAGAUUGGUUAAAGCUUUCAAAGUAUUUAAGUACGGUUUAAGAACGAUUGAAACUAGAGGAAAUAGUAAUUCAGCAACAUGGCGAGAGCCAGACUGCUGGGUAUUAUCCAGCCAGAACCUUGAAAACUGCAUAGUAACGCGAAUAUAGCAGGCAGAUACAGACAUUCAAGAAGUGAAUGUGUUUGCAGUGGUGAACACCAAUUGUUUAGUGGUCAAGCUAAUAAGGGCUGAUGGUGGAUACCUAGGCACACAGAGGCGAAG
rnacentral:misc_RNA from 1 species